ACAAGGAGGACGAUCAAGAUAGGCAUUUGCGUCGAAUUUGUGUUGUUGAAAAUAACUGAAUAUCGAGUACGAUAAUUAUCCACGAGUUCUUAAGUUUAGAUUUAAGCUCCAUGGUACCUGAUUUUACAGGAGUAUGAUGCCAUGUUGGUUUUGUUUGUACCGGGUUGAAGCAGAAUCCAUGUCACUCUUGCAAAUUUUAGGUUUCAGGACACUUGAAGCCUACAUGAUUUACUCAGAAGACGAAGACCCAGGAAAAUAGCAUCCAAUGAAGAUAUAACAAUUGCUAUGUCAGACUAAUUAAAUCGGUUAGUCAAAGUUCUAGCAGAUCUACGAAAAAGAUCAGUCAAGUUUGAUAUUUUGCAAAUUUACACCCAAUUGACUUAGACAAACAAAAAUUUAAUUUUAAUUCUUUAACGUAUAAUUAAAUUCAGUUUUUUUUUCAUACGGAUAAGAUUACUUCGAUAAACUGCACAAAGAAUGUAUAGCUCGUUGUUUUAUAUUUUAAUAUUAUAUUACCAUUACGAGUCAAAUUCUUUAUUUCAAGUCGAGAGGUUUCUUAGUAUAAAGUAUUAGCAUUUUAAAUUUAAAUCAUGAUUGCAUAUUCUCUUUGAUAUUUUUCUAAUCUUAUGCAUAGUUUACAUUAUAUAUUUACUUAUACAAAACACACACACACAAUAUCUGUACCUUUUAAGUUAUACAUAACGCAACAUAUAACAUUUUUUAAUAAAUAUAUAAUAAGUUUAGUAAUAAAUAAAAAUAGAUUAAGUUUAGAGAGAAUUAUACAAUGAAUAAUAAAAGAAGAUAAUAAAUAAAACAAUAAGGAUUCUUAAAGAAAA